rnacentral:rRNA from 1 species
GACGAACGCUGGCGGCGUGCUUAACACAUGCAAGUCGAGCGGUAAGGCCCUUUCGGGGGUACACGAGCGGCGAACGGGUGAGUAACACGUGGGUGACCUGCCCUCAGCUCUGGGAUAAGCCUGGGAAACCGGGUCUAAUACUGGAUAUGACUCCAUGACGCAUGUUGUGGGGUGGAAAGCCUUGUGCGGCUGGAGAUGGGCCCGCGGCCUAUCAGCUUGUUGGUGGGGUGANGGCCUACCAAGGCGACGACGGGUAGCCGGCCUGAGAGGGCGACCGGCCACACUGGGACUGAGACACGGCCCAGACUCCUACGGGAGGCAGCAGUGGGGAAUCUUGCGCAAUGGGCGAAAGCCUGACGCAGCGACGCCGCGUGAGGGAUGACGGCCU